AGUCGCCAACGGGGGUGUGGCGGCCUUAGCUAUUAAUUAAAUUAUACCAUUCCCAUUCAUUCCCGGACGUUCUUUAAAUCCGGUCUACAUAAAUAAUCCAGAACUAUCCUAAAUACAUUUAUGUAUGCAUACGUGACCAAUAACACAUGUUGAAAUAUAUAGGCGGGGACUCACAACUUAUGUAGAAGCAGCUGAACAAAUCAGAAAAAGCAGACUAAUUAUACGAAGAUAUGACUUAUUAUGUGUAAAAUGCGUAUGCCAAAUAUUUUGCGAAUAACAACACUGGUUUAAUACGUCAGCACAAAAAAAUCAACUCAGGAAUGUCUUGCACGGACAACAAACUUAUGUACAUAUGUAUGUAAAAAUAUACAUACAUAUACGCAAAAUAACCCGUACCCAUUCAUUCUUUUUAAGUAACACAUAGAUACUUUGCAAAUCUCAUGCCAUUUACAUACCCAGUGACGUCUUGUUUACUUUGCACAACCAGUUUCUUCUUGUUAAAGUUUGGGUCGCUUCGAGGAUAUGGAAGAAACACGACAUUUAUUUGUCUGCAUUUGUUUUUCAUGGUGUAAAAUUGCAUGACUUUUAACACAUGGAUUCCCCUCUUGACGUAAAGAGACUUCGGUACUUUCAUAUAAAUAAGGAUCGCAACACUUACCAGUGCCACAGAUCAAAUUCAAAGCUUAUUUCAUAAACGAAUAAAUAAGUAUAUCUUCAAAUUCUAUCCAAAAUUCCGAACUAAGUUUUUUUUUCAAGAUAAACUUCCAGAUCAAACAUUGGGACUUCUUUCAUAACAGAUUUAAUACGGGAAUAAUUCCGAAACAAAUUUCAACCAGAAAUAAAUAUCUACACGAAAAAUAUAAAUUUUAAUUAAGCACAUUUAUUUUCCCCAAAAUAAUUAUGAAGUCCACAAUUAUCGCAAUUUUGUUGGUGGUAGCUUUGACCACCGCACUGGCUUGUGACUGCGACUAUCAUUCCGGCGGAUGCACCAUUUCUCGCGCACCGGCAGCCGGACAUAAGUGCAAGUGCACUUACAAAGGGGCCUGGACCUGCAAGGGGAACGAGUUUCAAUGCAAUGCGAAUCAACACUGCCCUGCAGAUUGCACAUCGGAAGAUUGUUGUAAAACUGGUGGGGGCGAUUGUGACGGAUAUUGAGGUGCAAAAUUAUGCAGAAGCCAAAUACAUAUGUCACAAUUGUUUUACAUUUAAAUGUCAACGUUUUAAUUAUUAUGUAAUUCAAUGUGUCUGUAUUUAUGUGGAAUGAUUUUAUCAUCCAAAUAUUCUGUUAAGCGCUUUAAAUUUUUGUGGUGUAUGUAGAAGUAAAUCAUAUGUAAAUAUGUAUAACCUUAAAGCACUAGUAAUUUCGAACUUGUGUAAAAUUGUAUUUACAAAAUUUCGUUGUCGAGCAUUUACAUUAACGUAGUUAGGUAGGGUGCAUAAGAAUGUACAUAUAUGUAUUAAGUACAUGUAUGUAUGUAUUUAUUUAUGCAUGUAUGUCAAUAUAUUGACCAAUUGACAAUGUCGAAGAUUGAUAAAAAUUUUGACGAUAAGAAUUUGUGAAUUAACGAGAAUACUAAUAUAAAUAUUAGAUCUUUUCUGUAAUAUUAAAUUGGACCGAGUACAAUUUUUUAACUAAAUAAUUAGCAUAUUUAUUUAGUUAGCAAGAAAUGUUUUUUUUGUUAACAAUGGACAAGCAUACAGCACAAAUUUUAGACCCAAAUUAAGUAUUCAUACAUAAAUAAUGAGAAUAAAUUAGCGAGGAUUAUACAUACAUAA